GGCGGAGAGAAAGACGAGCCGCGCAAAGCAUUAAAAGCUCCUUUCACCGAGGGUUUCGCCGGUGCUGGUGAGCGUAGGCGGCGGAUUCUCUCUCUCUACCCGGGGCUCGGUCAGUCAUCCCGAGUCUCUCGUGCGCCGCACACGCGAGCCAAGAGUCAUUCGCGUCGCCAUAAUAUGAAAAUAAGAGCCAGCGCAGGACGGAGCGCUCGACGGGGACGUUUUUCAAUCUGCAUCCGAAAAACGCCUGAUGAGGUUGGAGAACACACGGCGAGGGAUCUGACGUCUAGACGCUGCGGCUUAGUGCGCAGAUAAAACACCUUGCGCAGGCAGCGCAGAUUAAAAGAGAUGCAACUGUGAUCACAGCCACUACGAUGGCUCCGAGACAACAGAUCAUCGCUCAGCCGAAACGCCACCGCCGUUCCGUCUCGAUAAUCAUCACUCACAAAGCAAAUGCCACCGAGAUGAAGCUGCCUCAUGGCAGCGUCUGCUCCGGGUCUGAUGCUUCAAAGGUGGAGCAGCUCCGAAGAACUAAAGGAACCGAUAAAGCAGCUGACGCUGGCACGCGUAGAGAGGGACAGGACGUGCAGCGCGCGUGUAAUAAUUAUACAGACUAACCGAGGGGUGAAAGAUCUCCAAGAGGCGUACAAGAAACCCUUUUAGAGAUUUGUCUGGGGAAUCGCUAAGAG
ensembl:lncRNA